rnacentral:rRNA from 1 species
UACGUAGGGGGCAAGCGUUGUCCGGAAUCAUUGGGCGUAAAGAGCGUGUAGGCGGCCUUAUAAGUCGGCUGUGAAAGUCAAGGGCUCAACCCUUGAAUGCCGGCCGAUACUGUGAGGCUAGAGUCCGGAAGAGGCGAGUGGAAUUCCUGGUGUAGCGGUGAAAUGCGCAGAUAUCAGGAGGAACACCAAUGGCGAAGGCAGCUCGCUGGGACGGUACUGACGCUGAGACGCGAAAGCGUGGGGAGCAAACAGG